rnacentral:rRNA from 1 species
GUUGAACGCUGGCGGAAUGCUUUACACAUGCAAGUCGAGCGGCAGCACGGGGGCAACCCUGGUGGCGAGCGGCGAACGGGUGAGUAAUACAUCGGAACAUGCCCAGUCGUGGGGGAUAACACUUCGAAAGAAGUGCUAAUACCGCAUACGUCCUGAGGGAGAAAGCGGGGGAUCUUCGGACCUCGCGCGAUUGGAGUGGCCGAUGUCAGAUUAGCUAGUUGGUGGGGUAAAGGCCUACCAAGGCAACGAUCUGUAGCUGGUCUGAGAGGAUGAUCAGCCACACUGGGACUGAGACACGGCCCAGACUCCUACGGGAGGCAGCAGUGGGGAAUUUUGGACAAUGGGGGCAACCCUGAUCCAGCCAUUCCGCGUGAGUGAAGAAGGCCUUCGGGUUGUAAAGCUCUUUCGGCAGGAACGAAACGGCGAGCUCUAACAUAGCUUGCUAAUGACGGUACCUGAAGAAGAAGCACCGGCUAACUACGUGCCAGCCGCCGCAGUAAGAC